AGUGAUAGACAAGAAAAGUACAGCAAUCCAUCCUGAAGGAAAUGAGUUUCCUGAUGUCCUCUGAGACUCACAGGAUGUAAUUCACAGUUCCUGCAGUCUUCAGGCUUUCCAGACCCAGGUUUGUAAGAUGCCCAUGAGCAUUGAAGAGGACCAGCCAGCUACCUCACCUGGUCACCAACUCAAGUGCCAUUGUCUUCAGGAAAUCUCCCUGAAGAGAGUCCCAGGCACAUCUGAGCACCCUAGACCCAGUGAAGGGGUACAUGAAAUUAUCAAUCAUCACAGGUUUCAACAUUUGGAGAUAAUGAGCUGCUGGGUGUUUCAGCAUUCACUUUUACAGGUGUUGACUCAUUUAUUUCAUCGUCAGCUGCAAAGCCUUGGAGAUGUGGUUGGCUGGACGAGUGCUUGCCGAGCAUAGACCAUGGCCCUGAGUUCAGUCCCUACCACUGUAGAGAGAAGCCAAUUGUGUUUUAAAAGAACAAAUAUUUUAAAAAUAAUAAGA
rnacentral:lncRNA from 1 species